rnacentral:rRNA from 1 species
AAGGUUACAAGAGCGAACGGAGGAUGCCUAGGCUUCUGCAGGCGACGAAGGACGUGGUAAGCUGCGAAAAGCCCCGGGGAACCGCAAACAGGUUUUGAUCCGGGGAUGUCCGAAUGGGGCAACCCGCACGGUUGAAGGCCGUGCGCCACUUUUUUUGGUGGGGCCAACCCGGGGAACUGAAACAUCUUAGUACCCGGAGGAAGAGAAAGAAAAGAUCGAUUUCCCGAGUAGUGGCGAUCGAAAGGGAAAGAGCCCAAACCAUGGUUGUUUCGGCAGUCAUGGGGUUGUAGGAGCGCUUAAAGGAAACUGUUUUCCGAAUUGGAACUGUCUGGAAAGUCAGACCGCAGACGGUGAGAGUCCGGUACAAGCAAGGAGAACGGUUCAGGAGCGCCACCUGAGUAGGGCGGGACACGUGAAAUCCUGUCUGAAUCCGCGGGGACCAUCCCGCAAGGCUAAAUACUCGCAGAAGACCGAUAGUGAACCAGUACCGUGAGGGAAAGGUGGGAAGCACCCCGAGCAGGGGAGUGAAAUAGACCCUGAAACCGUUCGUUUACAAGCGGUCGGAGCUGGUAUAUCCAGCGACGGCGUGCCUUUUGGAUAAUGAGCCUACGAGUUGUACCUGUCCGGCGAGGUUAAGUUCUUCAGGAACGUAAGCCGAAGCGAGAGCGAGUCUUAAUAGGGCGCAUAGUCGGUCGGGACAGACGCGAAACCUAGUGAUCUACCCAUGAGCAGGAUGAAGGCGUCGUAACAGGCGCUGGAGGUCCGCACCAGUUUCCGUUGAAAAGGGCUUGGAUGACUUGUGGGUAGGGGUGAAAGGCUAAUCAAACUGGGAGAUAGCUCGUACUCCCCGAAAUGUCUUUAGGGACAGCCUCACCGUAGUUUAGCGGAGGUAGAGCUACUGAUAGGAUGCGAGGGCUUCAUCGCCUAUCAAUUCCUGACAAACUCCGAAUGCCGUUAAAUGAUCAGUGGGAGUGAGUCGUCGGGUGCUAAUGUCCGGCGGCGAGAGGGAAACAGCCCAGACCUUCGGUUAAGGCCCCGUAGCGUGGUCUAAGUUUUCAGAACGAGGUGACAUCGCAGAGACAGCUAGGAUGUUAGCUUGGAAGCAGCUAUUCAUUUAAAGAGUGCGUAACAGCUCACUAGUCGAGCGAUGACGCGUGGAUAAUGACCGGGAAUAAAGACCACCGCCGAAACCAAGGAAUCCGCAACGUUAAGUUGGGAUUGGUAGGGGAGCAUUCCGCUCGGCGUAGAAGGUGAAGCGUGAGCUUUGCUGGAGCGUGCGGAAACGCAAAUGUAGGCAUAAGUAACGACAAUGAAUGCAAAACCAUUCACACCGAAAACCCAAGGUUUCCUCAGCUACGUCAACCGUCUGAGGGUAAGUCGGGGGCUAAGGGGUACCCGAAAGGGGAACCCGAUGACAAACCGGUUAAUAUUCCGGUACCUCCCAUGCAGGAAUACUCGUGACCGAGAGGUGACACUGCCGCGUGCUGACGGAAUAGCACGUUGAAGGCCGUAGGCGAAAGCUGAAAGCCGAGAGUACCGCGAGUCUUCGGACAAGCGGACAGCGCAGGUAAUCGUACUUGCAAGAAAAGCGCGUAUUCGUGUAGCGUAUGGGAGCCCGUACCGUAAACCGACACAGGUGGGUGAGGAGAGAAUCCUCAGGUGCUCGAGUGAAUCAUGGCUAAGGAACUAGGCAAAUUGACCCCGUAACUUCGGGAUAAGGGGACCCGGCAGCAAUGUCGGGCGCAGAGAAAUGGCUCAGGCGACUGUUUACCAAAAACACAUGGCUAUGCGAAAUCGUAAGAUGACGAAUAUGGCCUGACACCUGCCCGGUGACGGAAGGUUAAGAGGGGGAGUCACGCAAGGAAGCUCCGAAUCGAAGCCCCGUUAAACGGCGGCCGUAACUAUAACGGUCCUAAGGUAGCGAAAUUCCUUGUCGGGUAAGUUCCGACCUGCACGAAUGGUGUAACGAGGUGAAAUUGUAGUGGCGGUGAAGAUGCCGCCUACCCGCAACGGGACGAAAAGACCCCGUGAACCUUUACUAUAGCUUAGCGCUGGAUUUGGAUAUCGGAUGUGUAGGAUAGGUGGGAGACGUUGAAGAUGAGACGCCAGUCUUGUUGGAGUCAUCGUUGAAAUACCACCCUUCUGAUAUCUGGGUUCUAACUUCGCGAGAAGGACACCGCUUGGUGGGUAGUUUGACUGGGGUGGUCGCCUCCAAAAGCGUAACGGAGGCUUCCCAAGGUCCGCUCAGCACGAAUGGCAACCGUGCGCAGAGUGCAGUGGCAGAAGCGGGCUUGACUGGGAGACAAACAAGUCGAGCAGGUACGAAAGUAGGGCAAAGUGAUCCGGUGGUUCCUCAUGGGAGGGCCAUCGCUCAUAGGAUAA